rnacentral:rRNA from 1 species
AGAGUUUGAUCAUGGCUCAGGAUGAACGCUAGCUACAGGCUUAACACAUGCAAGUCGAGGGGCAGCAUGUUGGUUGCUUGCAACCAACGAUGGCGACCGGCGCACGGGUGAGUAACGCGUAUCCAACCUACCCUUGUCCAUCGGAUAACCCGUCGAAAGGCGGCCUAACACGAUAUGCGGUUCACAGCAGGCAUCUAACGUGAACGAAAUGUGAAGGAGAAGGAUGGGGAUGCGUCUGAUUAGCUUGUUGGCGGGGUAACGGCCACCAAGGCUACGGAUCAGUAGGGGUUCUGAGAGGAACGGUCCCCACNUUGGAACUGAGACACGGUCCAAACUCCUACGGGAGGCA